rnacentral:lncRNA from 1 species
ACCAUCUCUUCUUCCGUUUUUCUUCUCUCGGCGAUGGAAAUAAGGACCACCAUCCCUCUUCUCUUUUUCUAUGCCUCACCAACGUCCAUCAUAGCCCGCCAUCACCUCUGCGCUGUUAAUCCUCCUCUCAUUCGCAUAUCUCGUCGCCACCAAGAUUCAUGAAAAUCCGAUUAGACGAUCCCCCAUCAUCCCCUUUGACGAGUUCGGUUUCACCGCCUCGAAGACGACCUCCAACCUAUCGGGAAUCUCCAAGGACGAAAAAAAUUGUCUUCGGCUGACAGAUCUGGAUCCAGCGAGUACCUAGAUGUUGAGGUAAUCUCAAUAAUCUGCAUUAGGAUUUUUUUUUUUUUUGUGGUUUGUUCGGUGCCUUCACUUGCAGAAUUUUUCCAGGUACGAUACUGGAUGUGGAACAAAUAGGUCUAGUCACUUUGUAUUCCUUUUAUUUUUUUAUCCUUUUUGUCUUGUUGUUUUGGUUUUAUUAGGUAUCCAGUUUAUGUAUAUAUAUUAGGGAAAGUAGAAUAUUUUGAAUUAAGUCUUGAAGGAAGAUUUUCUAAUUUUUGAGGAUCUUAUAAUGGGCAUUAUAAAUUCUUAAUUUGAUUGUAAUUCUUAUUUUGAAUUGAAUUUUCUCCUUGAAAAGGGGAUUUGUUGUAGUGAAUUAGGUUAAUUCUGUAGUGGAUUGCAUUACUAUUUUAGUAGAUUUUGAUAUAAUUGAAGUGGACUUUCUCUUUGAAAAGGGGAUUUGUUGUAGUGAAUUUCGUUUAAUUUCGUAGUAGAUUACGUUAAUACUUUUGUAAUUGUUUUGUAUUGGAUUAGGUUAAUUUCAUACUUGAUUAUGUUAAUAUUUUAGUGGAUUUCGAUAUUUUUUGUAGUGGGUUUUGAUGAGAUUGUAGUAGAUUUAAAAUUCUUGCUUUGUAGACCGAUUUUGUUUUGAAUGAAUUAAAUUUACACGUUGUUGUCUUCUUUUUCUUUGGUUCAGGUUCGUGCACAAGCGGAGUGAUGGCAACAAGUGGGGCGAGGUUGGGUGAUGCUCGGGUGACUCUACUAUUGCGAUGAAAUUCGUUUAUUAAAGAGGAAUUUUAGUGGAUUUAGGCAAGUUUUUAGUGUAUUUCGAUAAAAUUUCAGUGGUUUUCUCUUUGUAUAGGGGAUUUUUUGUACUGGAUUUCUAUAUUUUUGUAGUGGUUUUUGAUAAACUUGUAGUGC